rnacentral:rRNA from 1 species
AAAGAAACCACCAGGGAUUGCCUCAGUAACGGCGAGUGAAGCGGCAAUAGCUCAAAUUUGAAAUCUGGUCAUUUUUAGUGAUCCGAGUUGUAAUUUGUAGAGGAUGCUUUGGGUGCGACCGCGGCGCAAGUCCCUUGGAACAGGGCGUCGCAGAGGGUGAGAACCCCGUCUUGAGUCGCUGGUACGCGCCCGUGCAAAGCUCCUUCAACGAGUCGAGUUGUUUGGGAAUGCAGCUCAAAGUGGGUGGUAAAUUUCAUCUAAAGCUAAAUAUUGGCCGGAGACCGAUAGCGCACAAGUAGAGUGAUCGAAAGGUUAAAAGCACCUUGAAAAGGGAGUUAAAAAGCACGUGAAAUUGUUGAAAGGGAAGCGCUUGCGAUCAGACUCGGACGCGGUAGUUCAGCGGGCAUUUUUUGCCCGUGCACUCUGCCGUGCUCCGGGCCAGCAUCAGUUUCGACGGCCGGUCAAAGGCCCCUGGAAUGUGUCGUCCUCCGGGACGUCUUAUAGCCAGGGGUGCAAUGCGGUCAGUUGGGACUGAGGAACGCGCUUCGGCACGGAUGCUGGCGU